GGGGGGUUAGUUUAGGUAUUUUUAGAAUUCUGCUUUUGUAAAGCAGAGGUGGUUUUUGGCUGCUCUCUA
rnacentral:tRNA from 1 species